CCCUCCCCCAGCCUCGCUGCCGCCUUGCAGUCUGAUCUCAGACUGCUGUGCUAGCAAUCAGCGAGACUCCGUGGGCGUAGGACCCUCCGAGCCAGGUGCAGGAUAUAAUCUCCUGGUGUGCUGUUUCCUAAGCCCGUCGGAAAAGUGCAGUAUUAGGGUGGAAGUGACCCGAUUUUCCAGGUGCCGUCUGUCACCCCUUUCCUUGAUCAGGAAAGGGAACUCCCUGACCCCUUGUGCUUCCCGAGUGAGGCAAUGCCUCGCCCUGCUUCGGCUCGUGCACGGUACGCUGCACCCACUGUCCUGCGCCCACUGUCUGGCACUCCCUAGUGAGAUGAACCCGGUACCUCAGAUGCAAAUGCCAAAAUCACCGGUCUGUGUCGCUCACGCUGGGAGCUGUAGACUGGAGCUCUUCCUAUUCGGCCAUCUUGGCUCCUCCCCAGGAUUAUUUUUAAACUGAUGAUUACAUUUCAUUUAAAGUCAUUACAUCUUUACAUUUAAAAUUACCCUACAUUUAAAACCAUUAUAUUUUUAAACCCCAAAAGUAUGGAGUACAUUUCUAGGUUAUACAAAAGAGCAUUUAUACCAUGAGUUUUCAUUGUUUUCUAUUUAAUUGUGUAUUUUCUUUUUUUUGAGAUGGAAUCUUGCUCUUGUCGCCCAGGCUGUAGUGCAGUGGCGUGAUCUUGGCUCAGUGCAACUUCUGUCUCCUGGGUUCAAGUGAUUCUUCUGCCUCAGCCUCCUGAGUAGCUGGGAUUACAGGUGCCUGCCAUCAUGCCUGGCUAAUUUUUGUACUUUUAGUAGAGACGGGGUUUCGCCAUGUUGGCCAGGCUGGUCUUGAACUCCCGAUGUCAGAUGAUCCGCCCACCUAGGCCUCCCAGAGAGCUGGGAUUACAGGCGUGAGUCACCACGCCCAACCUAAUUGUUUAUUUUCUAAUGUUAAAAAUAUAGAUCAGUGGUAGUUUUGGCUGGGGCCUAAGUAUUUUUCUAAAGCACCCCUUGGGAUUCUGGUGUAAACUCAGUUUUGACAUCUUGUAAUGUGGUAUACCUCCUUAAGUUUGAGUGAGGAAACUGAGGCUCAAUCUAGUUUUCAAGGAGCUGAGAUAAAUAGUGGGAUAUUGGAUGGGUCACUGCGGAAUCCCAAAAGAAAAUAAACACUCUGAUAAGACAAAUCUCCCUUAGUUUUCCCUCUGUACUUUAAUUCUGCUUUUUUAGAUGUUGAUAAAGAUAACAUAUACUCAUUUCAGAAAUUCAUAUAUGGCACAGAGCUGUAAAAGAAGAUGCAAAAUUCCCUGAAACCAAAUCACUAAUAGACAGCCACCAUCAAAUCUUGCUGCUUCAUUGAGAGAAUCAGACCAGCAGAGAGAGAGAGUUACAUGACAAAGUAUGCUGAGGAUAAAAUAUUGACAGAAAUAAAGAAGAUGUGUUAGAAGGGCCUUUUAUACUCAUUUGUGUUUUAAAUAAGAGACUCGGGCCGAAAACAAGUUUAAGAUAAGAUCUGUAUCAUUAUAUUUUACUCUAAAAACUCCUAAGUGGUUUGGUUUUUAGAUGAAAACCUCUAUGAUGAGCAAUAAGUCCAUUCCAAUUUUCCACUUCUAAGUUCCUCUUAAUUAAUCUUAAUUAUUGGUUGGGGAAUGAAGUGUCUUUGAUAGUCUGUUAUUCUUCCUUCUAGUGUCAUAAAAAUUAUUAAGUGAAUGUGUAAAACAUUGGCAUUCUGUAAAACAUGGUUAGCAUUAAAAUUAAGCUAAACAUAAUGUGGUUUUUCUUGAUGAUUGGGAGGUCACUCAGGAUUAUUCUGAGGAUUUUUAUAGAAUACACAUCAUAGUUAAUUAAAAAUUCCAGUUAAUGCAACACCUUAUAAUGGAAUUUAUUGUAUAUCACUGUUUAAGAAACAGCUUAGUUAUAUAAUAUUUUUGAUAAUUGCCAAAAUACACUUUUUUUUGAAAAAAGACAUUUGGAAUUAUUUGAAAAACUAUUUACCUUCUAUAAUCGUUUUCCUAAAAAUACUACAUUGGAAAUUGAAAAAACAAAAUAAA